GCAAGUCGGACGGUAACAUAGGAGCUUGCUCCUGAUGACGAGUGGCGGACGGGCGAGUAACGCGUAGGAAUCUGCCUAUAAGUGGGGGACAACCAUUGGAAACGAUGGCUAAUACCGCAUGUUGUCUUCGGACAAAAAGUGGCUUUCGGGCUGCUGCUUAUAGAUGAGCCUGCGUUAGAUUAGCUAGAUGGUAGGGUAAAGGCCUACCAUGGCGACGAUCUAUAGCUGUUCUGAGAGGAAGAUCAGCCGCACUGGAACUGAGACACGGCCCAGACUCCUACGGGAGGCAGCAGUGGGGAAUAUUGGACAAUGGGCGAAAGCCUGAUCCAGCAAUACCACGUGUGUGAAGAAGGCCUUAGGGUUGUAAAGCACUUUCAGUGAGGAGGAAGGCUGCUAGGUUAAGAGCUAAGUAGUUUGACGUUACUCACAGAAGAAGCACCGGCUAACUCCGUGCCAGCAGCCGCGGUAAUACGGAGGGUGCGAGCGUUAAUCGGAAUUACUGGGCGUAAAGGGUUCGUAGGCGGUUAGAUAAGUCAGAUGUGAAAGCCCUGGGCUCAACCUAGGAACUGCAUUUGAAACUAUUUGACUAGAGUAUAGUA
rnacentral:rRNA from 1 species